GCAAGUCGAACGGUAACAGGCAAAAGCUUGCUUUUGUGCUGACAAGCGGCGGACGGGUGAGUAACGCGUAGGAAUCUACCUAAUAGUGGGGGAUAGCCCAGGGAAACUUGGAUUAAUACCGCAUACGCCCUACGGGGGAAAGCGGGGGAUCUUCGGACCUCGUGCUAUUAGAUGAGCCUGCGUAAGAUUAGCUUGUUGGUGAGGUAAGAGCUCACCAAGGCGACGAUCUUUAGCUGUUCUGAGAGGAUGAUC
rnacentral:rRNA from 1 species